rnacentral:rRNA from 1 species
CACUAAUAGUUCUAUAACAAAACAAUUCGCCAGAGAACUACUAGCAACAGCUUAAAACUCAAAGGACUUGGCGGUGCUUUAUAUCCCUCUAGAGGAGCCUGUUCUAUAAUCGAUAAACCCCGAUAAACCUCACCAUCCCUUGCUAAUACAGUCUAUAUACCGCCAUCUUCAGCAAACA